GAUGAACGCUGGCGGCGUGCCUAACACAUGCAAGUCGAACGGAGUCCAGCCUUUAAGACCUUCGGGUCAAAGAGGGGAAGACUGAGUGGCGGACGGGUGAGUAACACGUGGGCAACCUGGCUCAUAGAGGGGGAUAACAGAGAGAAAUUUCUGCUAAUACCGCAUAAGCACACACUGCCGCAUGGCAGAGGGUGAAAAGAGAAUCGCUAUGAGAUGGACCCGCGUCUGAUUAGCCAGUUGGCAGGGUAAGAGCCUACCAAAGCGACGAUCAGUAGCCGAUCUGAGAGGAUGAACGGCCACACUGGAACUGAGACACGGUCCAGACUCCUAAGGGAGGCAGCAGUAGGGAAUCUUCCGCAAUGGGCGAAAGCCUGACGGAGCAACGCCGCGUGAGUGAUGAAGGUCUUCGGAUCGUAAAACUCUGUUAUUAGGGAAGAACAUAUGUGUAAGUAACUGUGCACAUCUUGACGGUACCUAAUCAGAAAGCCACGGCUAACUACGUG
rnacentral:rRNA from 1 species